rnacentral:rRNA from 1 species
AACGAACGCUGGCGGCAGGCCUAACACAUGCAAGUCGAGCGAGGACUUCGGUUCUAGCGGCGGACGGGUGAGUAACGCGUGGGAAUGUGCCCUUCUCUACGGAAUAGCCCUGGGAAACUGGGAGUAAUACCGUAUACGCCCUAAUGGGGAAAGAUUUAUCGGAGAAGGAUCAGCCCGCGUUGGAUUAGGUAGUUGGUGGGGUAAUGGCCUACCAAGCCGACGAUCCAUAGCUGGUUUGAGAGGAUGAUCAGCCACACUGGGACUGAGACACGGCCCAGACUCCUACGGGAGGCAGCAGUGGGGAAUCUUAGACAAUGGGGGCAACCCUAGUCAAGCCACGCCGCGUAAGUGAUGAAGGCCGUAGGGUUGUAAAGCUCUUUGAGCUGGGAAGAUAAUGACGGUACCGGCAGAAGAAGCCCCGGCUAACUCCGUG